UCUAAUAAAAAUCCCUAAAUUUUCUAUCCCACAAUCACCACGAUCUCUACAUCGCAGAAACUGUUUCAUCUUCCUCUAUAAAUUUAACUCACCAUGAACUCAAAACUCAUUUACUCAAGUAAAGCAAAGUUUUUUUUUUUUAUAUUUCAUCUUUCACAAUCUGUUAUGUUGUUUAUGUUUCCAGAAAAUUCCAGAGAUAUAUGCAUGUCUCGAUCGGCUCCGUCUCCGACUUGAAAACGUCUUCAGCCUCUUCUAAUUACCGUGGAUGUUGGCAACGAGUUCCUAAGUAACCUAUCACUGGUAAUAGGACUGUGAGCACAGCGACGGGAGAUUGGAAAAGCUAGCUUCCAGGCAAAAAAAUCUUCGUGAAUGGAAGGAAGUGGAGGAUUGGAGAAAAGUGGUUAAUAGUAUGGAACAUAUGCUUUCCAUGGAAGGGGCUUGCAUUUUCGACAGUGUAUAGGAAUUCGAAGGCAAGAACAUAUGAUGCCAAGGCGCUCUUCUUCUCCGGUGCAUCAUACAACGCAAAUGUAUAUGGAAUCUUUACGUUUGUGAGCUCUUUGACUUACCACGGGCUGUGAAGCAUAAUCUUACAAUCGGAGAACCAAUCAUCGAUGUCUAAAUAGUGUUUUUUCAUCACCAUAGGACUAACGGGAGUCUCAGACCAUUUUUUCUAGCCAUAAGAGAUCACCAUAUACGAAAGAAGUAGGGUUUACCUAUCUCGAAGUCGAGAGACAAAAGGAGUCAUAAUGAAAUAAUCAAGGUUUUU